UUUGAUCAUGGCUCAGAUUGAACGCUGGCGGCAUGCCUUACACAUGCAAGUCGAACGGCAGCACGGGGGCAACCCUGGUGGCGAGUGGCGAACGGGUGAGUAAUACAUCGGAACGUGUCCUGUAGUGGGGGAUAGCCCGGCGAAAGCCGGAUUAAUACCGCAUACGCUCUACGGAGGAAAGGGGGGGAUCUUAGGACCUCUCGCUACAGGGGCGGCCGAUGGCAGAUUAGCUAGUUGGUGGGGUAAAGGCCUACCAAGGCGACGAUCUGUAGCUGGUCUGAGAGGACGACCAGCCACACUGGGACUGAGACACGGCCCAGACUCCUACGGGAGGCAGCAGUGGGGAAUUUUGGACAAUGGGCGCAAGCCUGAUCCAGCAAUGCCGCGUGUGUGAAGAAGGCCUUCGGGUUGUAAAGCACUUUUGUCCGGAAAGAAAACGUCGUGGUUAAUACCCGU
rnacentral:rRNA from 1 species